ACACUCCUACGGGAGGCAGCAGUGGGGAAUUUUGGACAAUGGGCGCAAGCCUGAUCCAGCCAUGCCGCGUGCGGGAAGAAGGCCUUCGGGUUGUAAACCGCUUUUGUCAGGGAAGAAAAGGUUCUGGCUAAUACCUGGGACUCAUGACGGUACCUGAAGAAUAAGCACCGGCUAACUACGUGCCAGCAGCCGCGGUAAUACGUAGGGUGCAAGCGUUAAUCGGAAUUACUGGGCGUAAAGCGUGCGCAGGCGGUUAUGCAAGACAGAGGUGAAAUCCCCGGGCUCAACCUGGGAACUGCCUUUGUGACUGCAUGGCUAGAGUACGGUAGAGGGGGAUGGAAUUCCGCGUGUAGCAGUGAAAUGCGUAGAUAUGCGGAGGAACACCGAUGGCGAAGGCAAUCCCCUGGACCUGUACUGACGCUCAUGCACGAAAGCGUGGGGAGCAAACAGGAUUAGAUACCCGUGUAGUCCCAUG
rnacentral:rRNA from 1 species